CUUAUACGUCGAAUUUUGGUCGCGUCGAAUGCAAUUAAGUUAAGACAACAGAUAAUGAAAUGAUUGAAUUGCAUUCCGUCGACGCGACCAAAAUUCGACAUAUAAA